rnacentral:siRNA from 1 species
AGUGCUAGAAUCCUCCACAACCUC